GUCUGGGUCAAGAUUACUGGACAAUAGGGGUUUCCCUAUCAAAUACAAACCAGAUGUUUGCAAAAUGUAAAACAUCGCCACCUCCGACCAAAACAACGGCAAGAUGGCUAAAAUAUUAACAUCCUUCAGAAGUAUACUAGUGAUUGAUCUGAUCUGAGUUCAAGACCGGAGAUUUUUAGAUGAAGAAAUCUAAAUUUAAUCAAAAGACGAAAAGACCCUAUCGAGCUUAAAAUUAAAUUUUAAAUUAAUUUAUUUUUAGUAAAAAUAUUUUUAAUUUUUAGUUUUUUGUUGGGGCGACCGAAGAACAUAUAAAGCUUCUUUUUAUUAAUUUAACUAACUAGUUUAUAUAAAUAUUAUUAAUAAAUUAGAAUAAGUUACCGUAGGGAUAACAGCGUUAUUUUUUUGGAAAGUUCAAAUUGAAAAAAAAGAUUGCGACCUCGAUGUUGGAUUAGAAAUCCUUAUAGGUGAAGAGGCUUAUAAAAGGAGGUCUGUUCGACCUUUAAAAUUCUACA
rnacentral:rRNA from 1 species